ensembl:lncRNA CEACAM22P CEA cell adhesion molecule 22, pseudogene
AGAUGCCAGAGGGAUUUGAUCCAGGGAGUUCUGGCCACACAGCCUGCACCACCGAGCUGGGUGUAAUUUAUUAUUGACACACAGGACUUUUAGGACGACUGAAUGAUGAAAGAAGAGAAAUUCUCGAAAUGACUGAAAGAGAGUGAGAAGCUGCACCAGCCCCCGGUGGAAGCCCAGAACUUGGCCCCUCUGGAGCACACAGACUCCUUGAAUUUGACAUGCAUUUCUCCAAACAAUGACAGGACAUUCCAGUGGUUUCUGAACCUUGAGGUGAUUCAGGAAGGGGAUGGACCAGUAAUCUCCAGAGAUGGCAGGGUCCUCACCAUCCCCACAGUCACACGCAAUGACUCCAGCACCUACCACUGUGAGGCCAGGAACCACCUGGGAUCCAGGCUCAGUGAAGCCCUCGUGGUUGGCGUGGCUUAUGGCCCGGAUACCCCCAUCAUGACCGCACUGGACCCAGAUUUUGUGAUUGGUUCCAACCUCACUCUGGUCUGCUUAGCCUACUCCCACCUCCUUGCCCAGUACACAUGGAGCUUCAGUGG